UUGUGUAAAACCUGCCAAGUAUAUACGUAACGAAUGUUAAUUCCAACUUUAAUCCCCCUUUUCCCAGGACCACUUUGACCUCCACUAACGGUUACUACCUUAUGUUUUACUGGUAUUUGCCGGUGACCGAGCUCCUAUAUAAGGAGCUAUUAGGUAUUCAUUCAUCUCGCCCAUCACUUUAUUAUAGCCCUAGUAUGGCAGGGAUAGAAUUCUUUGCCUAUACGCCUCUCUCUUUUAAUUUCAAAACGUUUUCAUUUUCUUUAAAACCCAGGAACAGAAAAUCUUGACAAGGAAAUUUUUAGACCCUUAGUUUAUUUUCUUUUUCAGUAAAAUUUUAAUGGAGGGAGAAUUCAAGGCGCUAAACUCUGAUAUACCAAAUUAGUUUGAUACUCUAUUAUCAUUAUAAUUUUUAGUGUUGGAUCUGGCACCGUCAACUUAUCAGGGUUUCAACAGCUAUAUGCAUACAGGGAAUGACAUGAUAUAUAAAGAGGAAGUGCUCAUGAAGAAAUGUUGACAGAAGAGAGAGAGCACAACCCGGCAUUAGGCUAAAGAGUCUUUGCCUUUGUUGGGAGUGUGCUCUCUCCUCUUCUGUCAUCAUCACAUAUUGAUCCUUCUGCUUCAGGUUUCUUUCUAAGCAUCACUGUAUGUAUGGUCUUCUUUUUCUCUCUCAGAUACAACAUGUUAUUAUCAUUCUUUCAUUUCAUAUAUCUCUAUUGUUAUUUGGUUGAACAAAAAUAAGCGAUUCAAAUCAAUCAAUGGAAAGCAAAAAUAAAGAAAGAAAAAAAGGGAACUGUAUGCCAAAGAAGUAAAUGGGGAUUUGCUAGUUUUCCCUUAUUCAAGAAAAUAAAAAUGAAAGAAUUUAACUGACAUUGAUUACCUUUCUUGGACACAUUUCCUUAAAUCAGUGCCUGUUUCACUAUUUACUAGGAUACCGUAUACACUAUAUUGAUUGUACAGCCACCAUAAGGCAUCUGAGGGUUACUGUUUUUUAAAGCUAUUAGAUGGGUUCAACAUACCUUCUAUAUUAGGUACGAAAAAGAAUUUACUAGCUUCACUUUAUACACCUCCAGAAACUGAAUAUCACUUGUCUCUUACCUUUUCGAUGUUGAUACUUGUGAGGGGACCAUCAGAUAUUGUAAUUGUGAAUAGAAUAUAGAACUGCCAUAGUGGUUUGCAAUUUGAUAAAAGAAAAUGGAGAAUACUGAACUUGAAUUUUUAUCCAAAAUGCAACAUAGACUCUAGCUAUCACAAGGUCAAUUGUAUAAAUCCUGAUGGCUAUAUAAAGUCCACUAUUUAACUCCAAUGGUGUUAAUAUUAGUUACCAUUGUUCCAUGGAUGAUUGGCUUUGAUUCCUCAAACUGCUUACUGUGAGGGCUUGGGCUUCAUACUGAUAAUGAAUCAUGAAUCUUUAACUCAAUGAGCGAUAUAUGGCUAAACAGAAUACAUUUAAGUACACUUCAGUUAAUUAAUAAUAAUUUGAUACACUCAGAAUUCUCUGUGCCUGCUUAUCAUUGUUCAUUUUAUUCUCAUAACACUUCAUUGCAAUCCUUGGUUUGGAACCUUAGAGGGUUCUACCUGAGUUACCGAGACAGGUAUGUUUUUUUGUUCUAAUUUUGAACUCUUUUUUGCUUCUGAGUCAUUGUGGUACGAUGGUUGAGGUUUUUAUCUUCAAACUUGAACAUUCUUGUAAGGUCAAAAUCAAGAAGUUAAAAGUCAGAUUAUGUUACUCCCUCUUUACAAACUUAUUACUUCCAUAUGCUUUCUUGCUUAGCUUAGUUAUGAGAUGAAAGGCAGUAAAUGAUGGAACAUUUUGUUACUUUGCGAGUCGCUUUCAAUCAAGCAAUAGUGAAGAAAAACAUCGAUCUCUGGUGAUUGAAGCAAAAUAUAUAUAAAGGGAAGGGAAGUAGGAGUGGGAUGGAAAUAUAUAUAGGUCUUGAAAAGGGACAACAUUGAACACUGAUAAACGGACAUUAGUCUCCACUUAGGUCAUAAAAAGCCAGCCUACAUUUGUCAAUGUAUUUGGCAGUGAUGGACCCGACACAUAUCAAAGAAAAAGAGAAAGAGAAAUGAUGUUGCAGGCUAUUUAAUAAAAUGGGGAAGCCGACUGUGACAUAAAUUGCUUACCUUCGCCUUCACCUUCACCUUCACCUUGCUAGAUUUUGUAACAUUGUUAUUGUUGAUGACAAUGAUCAAUCUAUUUUAGCUUUCCAAAAUUAUAUCGCCCAACAAUAAAAUUGGGCAAUGCAACUUAAUUUACAGGCCCUUUAAUACAGAGUUUUUCUUUUCUUCUUUUGAGACAUGUCAUAUUCUCCAGAAGAUUUUCAUAACGUAAUUGAUAGUCCUGAACAAUAAAAAGAAAAUUUAACUAAUUUUUCUUCUUAAUUAUCUAUACAAUAAGCAAACAAUAUUUCCAUUUCUUCUUCUUA